UACAGAGGGUGCGAGCGUUGUUCGGAAUUAUUGGGCGUAAAGCGCGAGUAGGCGGCAUGUUAAGUCGCGUGUGAAAGCUCCAGGCUCAACCUGGAAAGUGCGCGCGAAACUGGUGUGCUUGAGUGCCAGAGAGGGUGGCGGAAUUCCCGGUGUAGAGGUGAAAUUCGUAGAUAUUCGGAAGAACACCAGUGGCGAAGGCGACUUACUGGACAACUGUUGACGCUGAGGUGCGAAAGCGUGGGGAGCAAACAGG
rnacentral:rRNA from 1 species